CAAAAGGGACAAUCAUCGUUCACUAGUGUACUGGUGCGACACAUUGAUGGACAGGUUGCUUUACCUGGCUUUUAUUCUUGGGUGCAUCAUGGUGUUGAUGAAAUUUCUGAGGAGGAUUCUAUUUGAUUACCCGGAUGUUUACUCCUGUUACAGGAUUGCUUAACACUCACAUUGGUAGCGUGUGGAGGAGCAAUAUCUGAAGAUUUGGUAGGAGAGUCGUUAAUGGUGAAAUUGCAGAUGGGAAGAUUUUGGCUCCCUUGUUUUGCAACUACUGCAACGAUAAGGUGGGUUUCCAGUGGAUUAAUGAAGUGCACGGAGAACAAUAUAACCAUGGAUUGCCUCUCGCAGAUAUGAGCUCAAUUUUCAGAUACUCAGGUGCAGAUGAUUGAUUUUUUGGCUGGGGAUAGAAAGUGUAGUACUAGUAUCAAAGGGUUAUCAACAUCUUACUUGACAUACGCAUUACUGUUAUUAAGUUUUUGAUUAUCUUGAACAUCUUACUUAAUUCUCUAUACUUCUAACUAAUAGAUAGCUUUGCAGUUAUAUUUACUUUUAAUUGGGUUUA